rnacentral:rRNA from 1 species
GACGAACGCUGGCGGCGUGCCUAAUACAUGCAAGUCGAGCGAAGUUUUUCUGGUGCUUGCACUAGAAAAACUUAGCGGCGAACGGGUGAGUAACACGUAAAGAACCUGCCUCAUAGACUGGGACAACUAUUGGAAACGAUAGCUAAUACCGGAUAACAGUAUUUCUCGCAUGAGAGAUAUUUAAAAGUUGGUCAUGCUAACACUAUGAGAUGGCUUUGCGGUGCAUUAGCUAGUUGGUGGGGUAAAGGCCCACCAAGGCGACGAUGCAUAGCCGACCUGAGAGGGUGAUCGGCCACACUGGGACUGAGACACGGCCCAGACUCCUACGGGAGGCAGCAGUAGGGAAUCUUCCGCAAUGGGCGAAAGCCUGACGGAGCAACGCCGCGUGAGUGAAGAAGGAUUUCGGUUCGUAAAGCUCUGUUGUUAGGGAAGAAUGGAUAUGUAGUAACUAUACAUGUAAGGGACGGUACCUAACCAGAAAGCCACGGCUAACUACGUG